GUGAGGAAGCUGUGGAGCAGAUAGCAAGAUCCACGGACAGACUUGUCCAUGUCGUUGACGGCUCGUUGGAUCUGCUCCUCCAGGGCUCUGGCUUGGGCAGGCCCUGCUGCCAAAGGUUAUAAUCGUUCGAGGCGCGUCAGAAAAAUUGGAAAAUAUGCUGGACCAGUUAUUGUGGGCGGCUGCAUAUUUAUUACCUAUGAAAUCCUGGCACUGGGAGAAAACGUGACUCUUGACACACAGGCUGUAGAACAAGAGAAACUGAAUUCAUAUAUCUAUGUGUACACCAUUCCACUAGAACAGCAAGGAUUGGAGGGAAUUACAAGCAAGGCCAGAAAAGAACUGCAGAGAGCAGUUAAAAGACUGGUGCAAGCCACAGCCGAGAUGUUCUCAUGGCCACUGGAUGAGCAAUACAUGAGACUAGAUGUGGAAGACCAUGAGUCUGGUUUGUGGCUUCUUCUAAAACAGACUCAGUCUGCAGUUAAACCAGCUCGUGUGCAGGCUGUACAGGAACUCGCAAAGAAGCAUCACUGGCAUGAUUACCAAUAUAGAACUCUGGCUCAGGCAUGUGAUCAGAAAACUAGCAUUGGGCUAGCCAGAUCUCAAGAUGUUGACCUUCGUUUUUUUUUAUGCCCUCCUUUACAAAAAGUAAUUGAGAACUCCUGCAUUGAAGAUGAGCUAAGGUACCUGCUGGCCUCCCUACCGCAGUCUGAAGUGGAUCAGUGUGUGCAGUACUUUACUUCUCUUGCUCUACGAGAGAGUAAUCAGUCUUUGGCAGCGCAAAGGGAAGGACAUGGUGAAACAUCCACAGUUAACUCUCAGAUGUUAAGAUCAGUUUUCCAAAUUAAGAUUGGUAGCAACAAAAAAAAUGAGAGGCAGGGAGGCUUGUGGUGUUUUGGGGGAAAUGGUCUUCCUUACGCUCAGAGUCUAAGCUCUGUUCCAUCUGAGAAGGUUGAAUCAUUUUGUCUGCAAGCCCUUGCUAAACAUUCUAAGGUUCCUAGCCACUGUGACAAGAUCGUAAUGAAUGGAGGUCUGCAGUUGCUUCAGAAAAUAUACCAGCUACGACAUGAUUCUCAGAAAAUUCAAAGAAAUAUCAUACGGACAAUUGGAAAUCUAGCUUUACAUGAACAUCUUCACUCUGCCAUUGCUCAGUCAGGAUGGAUUGGUAUACUAGCUGAAGUGAUGAAAUCACCACAUGUUAUCCAGGCUUCACAUGCGGCAAGAGCCUUGGCUAACCUUGAUAGGGAAACCGUGGAGGAGAAGUAUGAGGACGGAGUAUAUAUUCUUCAUCCUCAGUUUAGGACCAGUCAGCCAAUCAAAGCAGAUGUUCUUUUUAUCCAUGGUCUGCUGGGAGCAGCUUUUAAAACGUGGCGACAGAAGGACCAUAGUGAUAUGGAGAAUAAAGAUACCAAUUACACAGAGUGUUGGCCAAAGACCUGGUUGGCUGCGGACUGUCCAAGUCUAAGGAUAUUAUCAGUGGAGUAUGACAGUCAUCUUAGCGACUGGAGAUCGAAGUGCCCCAUGGAGAAUGAAAGGAAAUCCUUGGCUUACAGGGGUCGGGAACUGCUGACUAAACUGAAAGCUGCAGGUGUUGGGGAUAGGCCAGUGGUGUGGGUAGCACAUAGUAUGGGAGGCUUGCUAGUCAAAAAGAUGCUUUUAGAUGCUUCAGAGGAUCCCGAAAUGAGAUUCACCUGCUUUGAGAGAACUGAACAAUAAUUUCACCAAGUUUAUACGGGAACACGAAGUCAACAUUCUGAGCUUUGGAGAAAUGUUGCCAACUUACAUUGGCAGUAUGAUCAAACUGCAUGUGGUACCUCUAAAUUCAGCAGAUUUGGGAAUUGGAGAUUUUAUUCCCUUGGAUGUAAACCAUCUAAACAUUUGCAAACCUGGGAGCAGAGACUCCUUCCUUUACCAGCGGAGUCUGAAAUUUAUAAAAGAUGCUCUGGCAAAAGAACUCAAAAGGUGAAUCAUGGUCUCACAAAGCAGCCAUAGUUUCAACUUUAGUGAGCGAAUCCUACUUUAUAGACUACUUUAUAGUAAUGUGUUCCUCAUGUAAACAAAACUUUGAAAAAGCUAGUGCUUAGUACAUUUUAGGAUAUUAAAAAUUGCAUAUAAGUGAAACAAUGUAUAUACAUUUAUAAUAUUGUAGAUCCACAGAAGACAAUCUGCUAGUGCUUAAAUAACUUUUAAAAGGAUAUAAUUUUUUUUAAUGAUUAUGAUUGUUAAAAAAAAAGGUAUGCUUCAAAAUCUACAUGUUUAAUGGAACUGAUGUUUUUUUUAUUUAUUUGCAAUCUUUCUAUUAAUUUGACUUUGCUCUUUGGGUUUACAAGAAAGGCAACACUCCUGUUUUACAGUAAUGUCAAAACUGGAUUAACCAAAUUUACACAAUAACUUCCACUAUUUUUCACUGUUCAUGCCUUUUGUUGUGCCUAAUGAUGGGACAUGGUACAUCACAAUUAUUCAACAAAUGGUACAAAGUUGAAGAUGCUAACAUCUUUAUGGAAAUAUUUGCCAGGUGUGUAUGUUGGGUUGUAAAACCAAUCUUCCUGCAUUUGGAAUGAUUUUAUUCUGCCUAGUACUAGAGAAGGCAAAAAAGGUCCACUUGGUCAUUGUCUUGAGCAAACAUUUGAGCACAAGAAGCAUUGCUGAUGUUUUCGUUCUCUGUGGACAACACCUAGACAACAUUUGCUUUCAAAACAAAUAUUAAAGAAAUUUGAAAACUCA